rnacentral:rRNA from 1 species
AACGAACGCUGGCGGCAUGCCUAACACAUGCAAGUCGAACGAUUGCCUUCGGGUGAUAGUGGCGCACGGGUGCGUAACGCGUGGGAAUCUGCCCUUAGGUUCGGAAUAACAGCUGGAAACGGCUGCUAAUACCGGAUGAUAUCGCGAGAUCAAAGAUUUAUCGCCUGAGGAUGAGCCCGCGUUGGAUUAGGUAGUUGGUGGGGCAAAGGCCUACCAAGCCGACGAUCCAUAGCUGGUCUGAGAGGAUGAUCAGCCACACUGGGACUGAGACACGGCCCAGACUCCUACGGGAGGCAGCAGUGGGGAAUAUUGGACAAUGGGCGCAAGCCUGAUCCAGCAAUGCCGCGUGAGUGAUGAAGGCCCUAGGGUUGUAAAGCUCUUUUACCCGGGAAGAUAAUGACUGUACCGGGAGAAUAAGCCCUGGCUAACUCCGUG